UUUAUUUCAUAUUGUUUCAUAAUUUAAUAUUGCUAAAAUAACACACAUUACACUCGCUGUUUACAAAAGAUUCCCGCGAUUAACGUAAAUUACGUUAUUCGUGUUGCAAGACAGACUGUCUUACCUAACAGUAAGAAGGAGAAGUGUUUUUUAAAGUUAAAUCAACAACUUUGAGAUAGUAAAAAUAGUAAACACAGUAUAGUCUUUAUGUUAUGCCUAAAGUGUUUGUUUUCGCAAUGUACGUACAGGAAUAAGAUUGUUACUGACUAUGAGUAGUUUUUCAGUAAGGAUCAGGUCACUGCAUGAGAGAUCAGGGUGAGGGCGACUUGUUUCAGGUCGAUGAGAAAGUCAAACAACAUAAACUGAGUCUAUAUGAAAACACAAAAGACAGCUAAAAUGCAUUUUAAGCAGACGUUUUUGUGGGUUCUACAUCUGUGUAUAGACAGGCUAAAUCUGUUCAUAAGUGCUUCAGUUUCAUGACAGUAGCCUAGUAAAUAGAGUUUACAUGUGUCAUAUUUAGAAUCAGUUUACAUAUAACAUUGAUUCUUAAUUCUUGAUAUUGUUUAAUGUCAUUUAUUCACCGAUUGUAUUAAAGGACUCUCGUCGUGUAAUACUGUCACAGAGCAGUUGUUCUUGUGUUGCUGGGACAGCACAUUGUUGCACUACUCAGAGCUUGGCAUCAGUGAAGUUCACAGCUGUACUGAAACGGUUGAGAGCUGACACAGACCUAGAACAAUGAGGUUCUGUCUGCAAGACCCAAAGAAAGGAAGCUUGCUGAUGUAUUAAGGAGUACCUUUUAAAAGAGUGUCACCUGUAAGCUGCCUGACCUCACAGUCCUCCAAGUAGCAGAGGCGUUUAAGGACCUUGCCAGUGCUGUAGCCCCUUCGGUCACCACUAUCAGGAUGUCACAUGUCAAUUCUUUGGUGGAUUUUGGCUUUGGCAGAGUUUAGUAUGGAAGUGUGCUGUCAUACCAGCAGCAACAACACGCAACCUUAAUCGCUAUCUACAACCCCAUAACUACAACCUCUGCAACUAUUUGGCUACAGCCUUGACACAUCUGUUUGCUUGAUAGUUAUUUAUAUUUACAUGUUUACAUUUCUGAAGUUAAGGUAGUUAUUUACAGUAUAUUACAUACAUACUUUACUGCAAUGUAAAUGUUCAAAAUCAUUUAGUUUUACAUUCAUGCACUGCAGGCAACACUGUAUGAAAGUUAUUUACAGUAUAUUUAAAUACAUUACUGCAUUGUAAAUGUUCAAAGCCACAUGUUUACAUUCCUGCAGUGCAUGCAACACUGAAUAAAAGUUACUUACAGUAUAUUUACAUUCAUUACUGCAUUGCAAAUGUUCAAAGUCAUUUAUAUUUACAUGUUUACAUUCCUGCAGUGCAUGCAACACUAAAUAAAAGUUAUUUACAGUAUAUUUAAAUACAUUACUGCAUUGCAAAUGUGUAAAGUCAUUUAUAUUUACAUGUUUACAUUCAUGCAGUGCAGGCAACCCUGUAUUAAAGUUAUUUACAGUGUACUUAAAUACAUUACUGCAUUGCAAAUGUGUAAAGUCAAUAUUUACAUUCCUGCAGUGCAGGCAACACUGAAUAAAAGUUGAUUAUAUACAAGUCAAUAUUAUUUAUACCUGAACAAAACUAAAUGCAAUACUUGGUUCACUGGAUAAGGCAACGUCCUUUCAAAGCCAGCGACGCACUUUAAGGCUCAAUAGCACGAUCAAAUGAUCACUUUUAAAAUGACUGCAGAUCCUUGUAUGAGGAGUGAUGUUAAAUCGCUCGCGUCGCAUGUUGUGAAUCCAUUUUCUGCGUGAUUUUUGUCCACAAAAAACAUUUGGAAACUCAUACUUUUGAGGAGUCCUCACAUAACUGGACACAGCAAUGUUCAGCUUAACUACUUUCUUUCCGCUGUUGAUAUUUAAACUUUCUGGAAGCCAUUACUAUAAUGGUUAACUAUAUAAUGAUAUAAAUAUACUUUAGUUAUAGAUCGCUCUCAAAUAAAUUUUAUGAAAGCAUUUUGCUGCUAGUACACUCAGAUACGAAAUGCGCUAAGUAAAUAUGCUCAGAUUUUUCCAGAAAUACGUGAGGAGAGCCAGAUUGCGCAAAAGGUGUGCAAUGCUGAGCUCCUUGAGUGCUGCGCUCUUGGCGGGUUAUGAUUGGUUGAAUGGUAACCUUGCAUCUGAUUGGCUAAAGAGUACGAGUGACCCAAGUUGGAGAGCGCGCUGCCAACAAAGUCUCAAAAAACACACACAAAUUCAAAGCAAUUCACACACGAAAGAGACGAUUCGUACAUUCACAGUCAUGAUAAACUCAAAAUUUAAAACUUUUCGUACACAGUUCUACAUUUGUGAAUUGUUUUUUUUUCGUUUGUGAAACGUAUUUUAUGAAUAUGUAUUUUUAUUUUGUGUAUGUACAUCGUUUUUUGCGAAUAUAUAUAUUUUUUUGUGUAUGUAAAUUAGAUUUCAUGCAUGUGAAAUAGUCUACGCAUGUGUGAAUCAUGUUUUUUGCGUGAAUUAUUAAUGAGAUAAAAUUAUCUCCAUACAACAGACGUUGGAAUGUAAGUUACCAUGUCAGUGACUGUUGCUUUUAUUGGUUAUUUUUUGUGGUUUAAUGUUUAAUAUAGAAAUAAAUAAAGUCAUAGGCUACUAUAGGCUAAUCAGAAUAAAAUAAUCAUAUAAUCAUUGUGACUUUAUUAACAAAAGAAUGUUACAAUUAUACUAUGUUGUUGAGUGCAUUGUGUGUCUAACUAAAACUUUUUUACAGAUACAGCAUCAUUUCAUCAUCUAUAUGGUGGGACAACCUGCUAGACAGGGUAAGUUAUGCUACAAAGAUAUUGAUUUCUGUGAUGCAAAGCUGGAUUUUCAUCAUUCCAGUGUCACAUGAUUAUUUAGAAAUCAUUUUAAUAUGAUUUAUUGUCAAUAUUGGAAACAGGUUUUUUUUUUUUUCAAAUAAAUGCAGGCAUGAUAAGCAUAAGAGACUUCUUUCCAAACAUUUCACCGGUAGUGUACACACAUGGUGGGACACAAUAUUUCUGAAACAGAAAAAUACAUACUCUUCGUCUCACAAAAUCUUUAUCUGUCUCUAUAAAAACUAUCAUCUACAUAAAAUAUUGUUAAAGAAAAUCAUUAAAUAAUGUGUUUUUUUUGUCUUGUUCUAGUUGAAGACAUCUGUUUCUACCUCAAAGAAGGCAUGGAGAGACACAUUAAAGAAUAUGUGAAUUGUGAAAUUGGUGAGUUGGGGAUUGCACAGACAGUGGAAGUUUUGCAAAACCUACUUGGUGUCACACAUGGGUGUGAAAUUGUUUUUUGGACUCAUUUAUGCACUUAAACUGAACUACCUGAAGAACCUCAAGUGCACCUUUGACCUUUCAAAAAAUCCUAAUGGAACUGGACUUGAUACAACCAAGCAAUUACUGAAAGAUGCUUCAGUGAAUACCUGACAGACACGCUGAUACAUCCCCCUCAAAGUCAGAGGUGGGUAGUAACGAAUUACAUUUACUUCGUUACAUGUACUUGAGUAAAUUUUUUGGGUAACUAGUACUUUUAGAGUAAAUUUAAGGAUAGGUACUUUUUACUCUUACUCAAGUACAUUUCUAGUGAAAAAACUGUACUUUUACUUCGCUACAUUCGGCGGCGUUACUGCGCUACUGUCAAAUGGUAUUAAUUAAUGAAUAUAUUUUUUUAAAAAGUUUAGGGCGUGUUCGAAAGUUUCGCGAGACAGGCUGCGUCAUGCUUUAGCGCGCGCGACCGCGCGGUCACACCCUUUAGCGCGCGCGGCCGCGCGUAGAUGAUAUGAGAAGCAGAUGAGGGCGCGUGUGCGUUGUGCGAGUAAUCGGAGGGAGAUCAUGCAUCGCGGCUUCAAGUUCGGUCUAUGUUUUCACUUCAAGAGGUCAAAAAGAAUGCGUUUCAUAAUGCGAUGCAUGCUUUGUUCAAUAAACGAGCUGACAUCUCAGCGUACAGGAAUUCAAGAUCCAACCUGAAGUGGUAAGUCACAGUAAUGUCUAUUUGAACACUGGUCAUUUCACACACUGUCCGAGUUUUUUUGCCAUAUGCACUCUUGUGCAAGCGAUGACCAAACAAGUGUAAGUUAAACCAUACAAACAGCACGUUCACAUCUGCACAUUUCCAUAUAAUUUCCCCACAACUAAAUGUAGAAAAUACAUUCAAAUAAAAACGGGAUUGUAUUUUAUUUAAAUCCUUCCUAAAGAAUGAAUGAAUAAAAAUAAAAGAAUAAAGUUUGAUUUUAAAGAAACAUGUAUUAUAUAUUAUAAUAAAUGUAGAGUUGAUUUGCACAAACAGAUAAGUUCCAUAUGAAAUUCUAAAAUGAUCAUUUUUAUUAGGCUCCUGUUUAUGUUCAGUAAUUGCACUUUAAUGGCAAUGAAAAUAACCUAUUCAUAUAAAAACAUGAUAACAAACAGACACACACGUUCUUUUUUGUUUACUGUUUGCAUGUUUAAAGGCAGAUACUGACAAGUUUGUGUUGUGAACAUGAAAAUAAAUACAGAGUUAACUGUCAGAAAAACAUCUGUGUGUGUGUUUGAGAUUUUUUCUCAAAUGACACGUUAUGUGAUGUUAAUGUACCCAUUGGAGGACUGAGAUAGGCUGCUUUACUUAUAAGCAGAACAAUGAGACUUUUAAGGAGAGGUUUGUGAAAACCCUUCAAGUAGUCUGAAAUUCAGUGCUUUUGCGCUUACUUCUCUAUCAGAUCGGAAGUAACGAGUAACUAACUACUUGAGUAGUUUUUUCAUCUGAUACUUUUUUACUCUUACUCAAGUAAAUAAUUAGAUUGAUACUUUUACUUUUACUUGAGUACAUUAUUGUAUAAGUACUUGUACUUUUACUUGAGUACAGAUUUUGGGUACUCUACCCACCUCUGCUCAAAGUGGGUACAUUUUUGUACCUUUAUAAUAAACUUUUUAACAUUACAGGAAUAUUGCACUUUUAUAAAACAAAAAUCCUGAUCAUUUACUGUCUGUCAUCCAAUUUACCAGGAUGCAAUCGCAUUUGCCUUCAUGCACGAGCUGAUGCACGCGCCCAAUGCGUGUGUCUGUGUGUGCGCGCGCGCGCGAGUGAGCGAACAAGGGAGAGAGAGAGGCAGGGUUGUGCUGAUUUAUAUGCUUCUGAUACUAUUUUAAUUUUCUUUCUAGUUUGUUUCACUAAACCGUAUCUCCGCUAUUUUAAACAGUACUCGACAUGUACUCCAGGAUUUGUUUUAAACUCCUCAAAAAAUAGAGUAAUGGUGACAGCCCUAAAUCCAAUGUAGAGAGACAGUAUAGUCCAUGCAUUAAAAGUGUUUAUUAGCAUGUAGAACUUGUCGGCUUUAUCAUUUUAAAAGUAGAUCACCACACAAAAGUCUGGACAGAGUAAUUGUGAAACACGCAAGUCUUUUUGAGUUGCUGUGCCUUUCUUCUCAAAUGUGUUUUAUAAAUCUUAUGCCUGCCCGCUGCAGCUCAGUCGUGUAAACUUCCGAAAUUUACCAGGAUGCAAUCGCAUCGCAUUCUUGCAGGCACUGAUCCACGCGCCCAGUGUGUAUGUGUGUGUGUGUGUGUGUGUGUGUGUGUCUGCCAUGCGUGCUUGUGUCUGUGUGUGCAUGUCAUUUGGAACCAUGUAUUAUGUGAGAUUAUCUUUUGUGAAAAAGCCAAGGUCAGUGUUUUUGACAUUGAGAAUAAAAUAAAAUAUGUGUUUUCAAUAACAACCAUUAAAUCUGUGUCUGUAUUGCAUAUUCAAACCUUACCAUUCCAUAACAGACUAAGGAUACUUCCAAUGACUAAAAAACUUUAGACUAGACUAAGACUAAAACUCUUAUUAUAUGUAGGGGCAGUUUCCCGGACCAGGAUUAGCUUAAUCCAGGACUAGGCCUUAGUUUAAUUAGGAAAUAUAACUAGUUUUAACAAACAUGCCUUACUAAAAACAUUACCUGUGUGCAUUUUGAGGUAAAACAAAGGGCCCUGAUGUAUUUUAAGAUAUGUAAGUGCAAGUUGUUUUCGGUUUGGAGAGCUCUUAAAAGUGUUUAAGUCUAGGACUAGUCUAAUCCCUGUCCGGGAAACCGCCCCGUAGUCGACUAAAACUAGACUAAGGGCCAAUCCCAUUUCUCUGUCUUACCCCUUCCCCUUCCCCUACCACUUCGUCUUACCCCUAGCCCUUGUCCCUCAAAACCAAGUGUUAAGCGCUAGGGGUGAAAACAUACCCCUAUGAAAUGAGACACCGCUUGGUUACGGUUACGUCAUCAUGCAUCGUCGUUUGCUGGCUGCCAGUUAAAACUGUAGACAAGCAUGCAGUCCAUUCAUGGCUAGUUAGAGAAAUACGGGAAUGUUGUGCAAAUCAGCAAAUACGGGAAUGUUGUGCAAAUCAGCAACGUAACGUUAGCGUAGCAAACUAGCGAAAUUUUAAAACAUUUAAAUUAAGAACAUAAUUCAAAUAUAUAUGAACAGGACUGUGUAGAGCACAAAACAAGACAUUAGUAAUUUUUAAAUUAAUUAUUAAGCCGAAAAUACUUACAUUUAUGGGACUCUCUGGACGCUCUGGCCGCCAUUUUUGCCGGUUGCGCAGUGUAUUCUGGGUACCCCUUGGUUUCAAGUAAGCUCGCGGAAAUUCUUGGUUUUAAGGGGUAUCUACCACUUGCCCUUAGCCCUACCCCUUGAUCAAAAUGAGAAUUGGGAUAGCCCUUACUCUCACGUGAACGUGCAAAACUAAGGGGUAGGGGUAAGGGGAAGGGGUAAGACAGAGAAAUGGGAUUGGCCCUAAGACUAAAAGAUUUCAGAUGACUAAAAUAAGACAAAAACUAAAUGUGUGUUAUUCAAAAGACUAAAUCAGAAUUUGCUGCCAAAAUUAACACUGGUUUGAGAUUUAAAUAGUAGCGGAUGAGUGGUGCCUUUUUCCUUUAUAACUAUGCCGGUGGACAGUCACCCAGGUAGCCUGCCACGUCAGCUCUAAUGUCGGAAACUUCAAAUUUAAGUAAUAGAGAAAUUUACUGGCCCAUUGAAAAGAUUUAUCGGCCAUGCUUUAUCGGCCAUGCCUUAUCGGCCAUGCCAUGCUUUGUAGUUCUUUGUUUCUAUUUCAUGUGAAGCUGUUUUGGUACGAUGAAAUAAAAAAAUCGCUAUAUAAAUAAAGUUGAAUUGAAUUAUAUAGAGAUUGCU